rnacentral:lncRNA from 1 species
AGCCUCACGCAGUGGCUCAGGCAGGCCGGUGGCAGGAACCAGGCCCGCGGUGGAGGGGUGCCCUUGUUGCCCACGUGUCCCACGAUCAGUUGCGCUGUCUGCCGCUCGGCCUGGCACCGACGGCCCCACUCGGCCAGCCGGUCCUUGCCCAGGCCCCCCGGGAACAUGACCACGAGCUCCAGGCCGUCGCCGCCAGGAUAGGCACAAGCCUGGCACAGCGCUGACAAGUAGCCCAGCAUGGCGUUCCAUUGGCCGCCACACACCCAAUCCGUCUGGUAGCCGCCAUAGAGCCGCGGCAGCGCCGAGCCGGCGUCCACCAGCACCCGGGCCCCGGGCAGCUGAGGGGGCGGCGGCGGCGGCAGCGGAGGGUGCAGCCCGGGCUGCGCUUGGCCAUGAUGGUGGAAGUGGUGAGCGGGGUGAUGGUGCCGAGUCGGCCCCGCGCCCCCGGAGUAGGCACCCAAGGCAGCGGGCGGAAGCGGCGGUUGCAGAGGCACGGAGCCCCUGGCGGCGCGUGGAGCCCCGGGCGCUAGGGCUGCAGUCGGCGGCAGCUGGCGGUGCAAGUGCUGCUGCUGCUGCUGGCGCGAGACCGUGCGCGCGAGUUUUAGGAGGUCCACGGGCACCACGGCCCCGGGACAGCGCUUCUCCAGGAACUCUUGGAAGCCCUGGACACCCAUGCUUCGUCGGUGGGCAGACGCGAUAGCGGCUGCGCAAGCAGGAUAGGCGACGAUCUGGGCGCGAAGCUGGGGGCGGGCGCGUGCGCACUCCGCGGGGGGCGAGGGGGGGCGGGAAAAGGAUUCCCGAGGGGAGGGGUGAGGAAGCGAGGGAAUGAGGGCGGGGAGGGGAGGAGACCACAAAUUGGAUUUGGGUAGAGAGAAGGGGAGGGGCAGACCGGACCCGGGAGAGGCUGGGAGGAUAAAAGCGAGGAUGGGCUCUAGUCACUUCUCUUUUUUCUCCUUUCCGGCCGCUCUUCUUCCCGCUUUAGAAGGGGUGAAGCCUCUUUCUUCCACCUCCGGGAGCCAUGUUGCCUCGUCUUCUCGGUGGUACACGCUUUCUAGCUGGAGGAAGGGGAGCGAGGAGGGGCGGGGCGGGGCGGGGAGAGGGGCAUCUUGGUAGUUGUAGUCUUCUCUAUGGCCUUAGGAUAUAGUCGAGGAACCAGACUACCACCCUUCUCAGCCCUUGUGCUCACAGGGUCACAGGAAGCGGGGCGUGAUGAUGAGUGUUUAGGAGUUGCACUCCAACUCCUUGCAUCUCACUGAGUUGCUUAGGUUAUUUACUGCUUUUUCCUGGAAAAAGAGUUUUGGGGGAUGGAUUGAUGCAUCAUGGGAAUGGAAGUUAGAGUGGAUUGACUGAAUUCAGCUAAAGUGAGCUAAAACUCCCCAGGAGGGAGGAUUUUCCCCUUAGUGGAAAGAUAAUAUUUAAAGAGCUGUUGGUCCCAAUUAAGAAAGACGUAACUGGUCGGGCGCGGUGGCUCACGCCUGUAAUCCCUCCGAGGCGGGCAGAUCACGAGGUUAGGAGAUCGAGACCAUCCUGGCCAACAUGGUGAAACCCCGUCUCUACUAAAAAUACAAAAAGUAGCCGGGCGUGGUGGCACGUGCCUGUAAUCCCAGCUACUGGGGAAGCUGAGGCAGGAGAAUCGCUUGAACCUGGGAGGCGGAGGUUGCAGUGAGCCAAAAUCAUGUCACCGUACUCCAGCCUGGUGACAGAGCCAGACUCCGUCUCAAAAAUAAAUAAAUAAAUAAAAAGAAACUUACAUUAUUUACUUGCCUAAGGCAAUGCAGAGACAAAGUUAAAUCGAAUAUCCUUGCCCUCAGCAUCUCUUUGGGCAGGGAGAUAAUUACCAACACAAAUUACAUUACAAAUUGUACCUUUUUGGUACUCCUAGAUCCACUAUGUCCUAUGGUUAGGGCCUUUGGUUUCCAAACUUCAUUGUGUUUUAGUCUGUCGGGAGCUUUUCUAAAUAGCUGCAAGGGCUCUAAUUUCAGAUGUAUGGAGUCAUAAUCUUUUGAAAAAUGUAUUUUCAACAUACUGAGAUGAAACAGAUGCAGUGCCUGUCUUCUUUCUGGCUUUUAGGGCCGGCCCACUCUUUCAGCAGGAAUAAAGCAGAAAACAAGAUCUGAAAUGAGUAGUAGCCAGAUCUGGCUUGGAACUUACUGGAAGAUGGGAGAUAAUGGCAGGCAGAGUUAGAAUGCAGAAGUGCAGAACCCAAGAGUGAUCGGGAUGAAUGAGAUAGGGGAAUACUCUAUUAGGAUGCAAAAGCAAAAAAGCUUCAAGCUACAUAAAAGAAAUUAUAAAAUAGUGGAGAUGGAACAAGCCAGAUUGUCAAAGAAUAAGUAGAUGGCAAGGCAGUGUACAUAGUUAACUCUUGAAAGCAAGCAGUGAAAGGAGAGAGCAGUGGCUUGAAGGGAUGAAGGAUGGAAGGAAUGGAGGUUUUUUAGUAUAAUGGACACGUGUGGGACGGUCUGCCCAGCCCCUCUUUUCCGGGAAUUGACCCUCCACCUUCCCCCAUUUAUAGGGUUAUGGCAAAAACUGUCGUGUUCCUAUAACCAUAGCUUAUUGGGUCAGAGGUGGGCAGCUAAUCCAACCUGGGGCAAUCAAAAUCUCAUUUUCUAGAAAUUUGCAAUUAGACAAGAGAUACCAGCUUUUCUCUAAGUGUAAAGCUUGGAAGCUGUCAACCAAUUUUCCCACCAGAGGGACAGAAGUGAAAGAUGCUGGUCUGCAGAAAGAGAGAAAAAAUGCAGACUUUCAGAGAAGAACAAAGGUGAGAAAUAGAGUCUUCAUUGUGUUCAAUUCCCAGCUUCCAGAUAAUGCAGUGGUGUGAUUACAGCUCGCUGCAGCCUCGACUUCAGCCUCAGCCUCCUGAGUAGCUUGGGACUACAGACACAUGCCACCAUGCCUGAAUAAUUUUAUUUUUUGUAGAGACCCUAAAAUGUAGAACAGAUAGAGAUCAGAGACCUCUGCAUCAGUUGAUAGGAAGGAAGUUGGCAUUCUGUGUUAUUUGGCAGUGAAGCAUUUGCUUAUUGCUCUUGGGACUCAAAACAGCAGCCCCUUUUGCUUAUAACAAGAGAUCUGCAUUUGCUGAGGGUCAGAUAUUCAUUGGCCUUGCUGAAUUACAGCAGAAUCUCAAUUUUGUCUCAAAGGUUUCACCAGUUAGGAAACUGGCAUCAAGGCAAUUGGAACGAAGUUAUCUAUAUCUGCCUCCUAAGUAGUACUCCUUGUUCUCCAGCGCUCCUAAAUGUGAUGAAUAGAAGCCACAACAGGAUGAUCCAGGCUGUUUCCUUUAGCAGAUCUGAAGCUUCAAAGAGCCUAACUUGACAAGAUUCUUGGCACUUGUUUUUAGCAUUCUGAGUCCCCUCAAAAUGAAACCAACAGGCAGUCAAAUAAGGUUUUAAAGAAUCUGUAUCACUAGAAGAUCAAAUCUGUGAAUAGGGACCAUAAUUGAUCAGCCAGAGCAGUGAUUCUCUUUUUUUUUUUUUUGAGAUGGAGUCUCACUCUAUCGUCCAGGCUGGAGUACAGUGGCGCGAUCUCGGCUCACUGCAACCUACACCUCCCAGGUUCAAGCAAUCAGGUGAUUCUUCUGCCUCAGCCUCCCAAGUAGCUGGGACUACAGGCAUGCGCCACCACGCCUGGCUAAUUUUUGUAUUUUUAGUAGAGACAGGGUUUUACCAUGUUGGCCAGGGUGGUCUCGAACUCCUGGCCUCAAGUAAUCUGCCCACCUUGGCCUCCCAAAGUGCUGGCAUUACAGGCAUGAGCCACCGUGCCUGACCAGAGCAGUGAUUCUCAAAAGUAUGUCUCUGGAGCAAGCACAUCAGCAUCACCUGCAAACUAUUAGAAAUGUACAUUUUCAGGCUUCACUUCAGACCUCCAGGAUCAGAAACUCUGAGUGUGGGGCCAGAAAUCUGUGGUUUAAGUAACAUUAGUUAAAGCAGUGAAGACAGAUUUUAUUCAGUAACUACUGACAGAAGAGGAAAGAGUUGAGCUUCAUUCUGAUUUGCACAGAGGUGACUGGGCAUUUUAGAGGGAAAAUGAGGGAGUAGGGAAGGAAAGCAAGCAGGGACUCAGUAGCGUCAUGGAAGUGAAAAAUUACAGAGGGUUUCUCAGUAUAAAUGUGAUUAGGCCAGCUGUGUCUGCUACCUGGCAAUUACUGAAGUUAGAUUUUUAUCCUCCCAGAGACUGGGAGACAGAGGCCCUACCCUACAUUUCAAAGGACUGGCUUCCAGGCCCUUGAGAAACAAACACUCUGUAGUUUGUAGGAAAUACAUAAACAUCUCAAAGGAACAGAGGAAGGAUUUACAAUACUAAGCCCUUUUUUACUAAAUGCCCUAAGAAAGGGAAGCAGGCCAGGCUUGGUGGCUCCCGCCUGUAAUCCCAGCACUUUGGGAGGCCCAGGCAGGUGGAUCACCUGAGGUCAGGAGUUCGAGACCAGCCAGGCCAACAUGGUGAAACCCCAUGUCUAUUAAAAAUACAAAAAAACUAGCCAGGCAUGGUGGUGCACACUUGUAAUCCCAGCUACUGGGAAGGCUGAGGCAGGAGAAUUGCUUGAACCCAGGAGGUGGAGGUUGCAGUGAGCCAAGAUUGCGCCACUGUACUCCAGCCUGGGCGACAGAGAGAGACUCCAUCUCAAAAAAUAAAAAUAAAAAUAAAUAAAUAAAUAAAUAAAUAAAUAAAAUAAAGAGAAGCUGAGGCCUAUCCUUAGGUGUGGACUAGAACAAACUGAAAGAUUUUCCUGACAGGGAAUUCAAAAGUGAGCUGGGGCUGGGUGCAGUGGCUCAUGCCUGUUAAUCCCAGCACUUUGGGAGGCUGAGGCGGGCAGAUCACGUGACGUCAGAGUUUGAGAUCAGCCUGGCCAUCGUGGCAAAACCCCAUCUCUACUCAAAAUACAAAAAUUAGCCAGGCAUGGUGGCGCACACCUGUAAUCCCAGCUACUCGGGAGGCUGAGGCAUGAGAAUCACUUGAGCCUGCGAGGCGGAGGUUGCAGUGAGCUGAGACUGCGCCACUGCACUCCAGCCUGCUCAAUAGAGUGAGACUCCAUCUCAAAAAAACAAAACAAAACAAAAAGUGAGCUGGGUCUUCUCAGGGAUUCAAUCUUAAGACUGCCAGAAACCAUGCUAAUGUUUGGUAAAGUCUCUUAGUGCAGGGGUUUGAAUGGAGUGUACCUGCCGAGUUUUUGCAGGUCUUACUAGCCCUUCAGGUGAUUCUAGCCGCACUCUUGAGUUUGAGAAUCACUGCUUUUCUAGAAAAAUACUCUUAGGCCCAUGUCCAGACUGGUUAAGCAAGGAGGUACAUCAGUAAAUUGAUUGCCAUUUUUUAUAUGCCUGUAAUUUCUUUCUUUUAUUCUGAUCCAGGUGGAAAUGGACCUGGUGGCUGAUAAUGGUGUGACCCCUCCUUUCCUAAAUAGGCUUUUUUUUUUUUAGAUGAAGUCUCGCUCUGUCGCCAGGCUGGAGUGCAGUGGCGCAAUCUCGGCUCACUGCAACCUCCACCUCCUGGGUCCAAGUGAUUCUCCUGCCUCAGCUCCCCUAGUAGCUGGGACUACAGGCGCGUGGCACCACACCCAGCUAAUUUUUGUAUUUUUAGGUGAGACGGAGUUUCACCAUGUUGGCCAGGAUGGUCUCGAUCCCUUGACCUCGUGAUCCGCCCGCCUUGGCCUCCCAAAGUGCUGGGAUUACAGGCGUGAGCCACCGUGCCCGGCCUAAUGGGCUUUUUUUUGAGACAGAGUCUCACUCUGUCACCCAAGCUGGAGUGCAGUGGUGGGAUCUCAGCUCACUGCAACCUCCGCCUCCCAGGCUCAAGCGAUUCUCCUGCCUCAGCCUCCCCAGUAGCUGGGAUUACAGGUACAUGCCACCACGCCCAGCUAAUUUUUGUAGUUUUAGUAGAGAUGGUGUUUCACCAUGUUGGCCAAGCUGGUCUCUAACUGCUGACCUCAAGUGAUCUGCCCACCUUGGCCUCCCAAAGUGCUGGGAUUAUAGGCGUGAGCUACCGUGCUGGCCCCUAAAAGGGCAUUUUGAUUGUGGUUAUCUAAUUAUUUCUCUACUCUUGCAUAUUAGAUCUAUUGGUGGCAAUUAAGUUUAUCAGAGGUUGUGAGAUCAAGAGCAGCCAUAUUUACAUUGUCACCGAACUAGAGGAGGAAAGGUUAUGUCCUUGCCAUACCAUUGCUUCUGAAUGCAGUAGUUGCAUAUGACCAGCAGUUGUCCAUGGCUAAUGUUAGGUGCUGGCAUUUUGGGAAUUGUAGGUAUGGGGAAAACAGCAUGUUUAUGGGACAGCCAAGAGGAGGUUUAUAGAUAAAUAUCUAUUAGACUGUCUCUGCAGCACCCCUUUUCUACCAUCUUAUCUACCUUAUCCUCAUGGUUGCAGCAGGAGCCAUCCUUUAGGGACAUUCCCAGAGAAUUUGAUUGAGCUGGAGAAGAAGACAUGAAAAAUCCUGGCUGUAUUCAGACACCUGGUUCAUUUGCUCCUAAGGCCCAUCUGUAUUAUCCCUGGGUUCUUUGAGGCACCCCUAUCUUUAUAAAUUCCUAUUUUUGCUUAAACUUGUUCAAAUUGUGUUUAUACUACUUAAACACAAGAUUCCUAACAUAAAUAGUACAGGAGAAACUAUACAGGAUGGAAGUCAUAGAAUAGCGUUUCAGAAUGUGUGCUUUGGAGCCAAGAACUGGUUUCCAAUACCAGUUCAACUUUUUAUUAGCUGUAUAGUUUUAACAAGUUGCUUAGCCUCUUGUACCCUUCCUGUAUCUGUGAAAUGGGGGCCCAUUAAUUUAUUCAACAGAUUUAUUUAAUACCUACUACAUGCCAGGAAUAAAGCUGGGCACUGGAAGAAAGCAGUUUUAAAGACAGUCAAGGAGCACAGAAAGGUGAUAAGUAAUGAUACCUUAGAAGCUUGUGAAGAUUAAAUGACAUUGUAGAGCACUAGCAUAAUAACUGGCACAAUAAGCACCUAAGAAAUGUUAACUCUUAUGAAGGGUGGGGAGAAGCAUAAAGAGGUUAUAUGGAGAGUUCACAUCAAACUCAAUCUUAUGUCAUCAUUCCACUGAAGUAGGAACUAGGUGUUCAGUUUCUGAAAGAGGUCCACUUAGCUUUCUCUAUUGCCCAAAUCCUUGGGGCCUCUUUGAGAGGCUAUGAGGUCAUAGAGUUAUAGGAAAUAAUUCAUCAGAAGGUCUAAUGAGGUUGCCAUAUUGCUUGUGUUACCUGAAUCAGCAACUGGCUGACAGUAGGAAAGUCAUUUGAUUAGUAAACAAUGACAGUGGUUCUCAACCCAAGUCACCUAUCAGUGUCACCUGGGAAGCUUUUUAAGAUGAUGGUGAUUCUAGAGAUGGGGCCCAGACACUAAAUUUAAAAAUUUUAUUUUUAAUUGUAAAAUACACAUAAAAUUUACCAUCAUAACCAUUUUUAAGUAUAUGGUUCAGUAAUAUUAAGUAUAUUCAUAUUGUUGUACAACUAAAACAUUUUUUAAAAUAGUUCCCAAGGUGAUUCUAAUAUACAGUCAGGGUUGAGAACCACUGAGCUGGAAUGGAGAACGUUUAUAAAUACUGGUUAAAUUCCUAAGCCUACUUCCUCAUUUGUAACAUGCAUGUGAACUAGUCCUUUCCAAUUCCAAAAUUUUAUGAUAGUCUUUUCUCCACCUAGCCCGAGGUCUUGCUCCUAUCUAGACCAUCAUUUAUGCUAUACUUCACUCCUGUCUUGAGCUCCUGUUAUAAUGUCCGUCUUCUCCCCACUCCCCAACUACUUCACCUCUUUCUAAACCCUAGUCACAGAUGUAAUUCUGUUAUGUCAUUCUGUGUGUGUGUAUGACGGAGUGUCACUGUGUCGCCAGGCUGGAGUGCAGUGAUGCGAUCUUGGCUCACUGCAACCUCCACCUCCUGGGUUCAAGCGAUUCUCCUGCCUCAGCCUCCUGAGUAGCUGGGACUGCAGGUGUGUGCCACCAUGCCCAGCUAAUUUUUGUAUUUUUAGUAGAGACGGGGUUUCACCAUGUUGGCCAGGAUAGUCUUGAUCUCUUGACCUUAUGAUCCACCCACCUCGGCCUCCCAAAGUGCUGGGAUUACAGGCACGAGCCACUGCGCCUUGCCUGUUAUCUCAUUCUUUUACUAAGUGGUGCUCAUUAAUGAUGGCGUAUUUUAAAAGGGUCUAUGUUGGUCUUAUUCCCCAACUUAAACACUCUCACCUCUACACCUCACUUUAUUACAUCAUCUUGCCCCUUUUGGGCCAACACCCAAUUUUUUCCACCAACAGACCUUAUGUUAACCCACGGAUUGAGUUCAGUUUUUUUGUCACCUCUGUUUUGUCCUCAUUUACAAUAAUGAUCUGUAAGGUCCCUUGUGUAAGUUAUUUGAGCAAACCUACUAUGUAUCAGGCACAGUGAUAAGCCCUUUAUAUGCUUUUUCAUUCAACCUCAAAACAACCUCACUGAGGGAAUUAUCCUUUUUACAGAUAAGGAAAUUGAGGCUAAAAAGUCAAGCAAUUUUCCCAAGUCCGUAAGAUAGAAUACAACUCCAGGUCUGCUGGACUCCAAAAGGUAUCUGUAUUAACUAUAAUCAGAAUCAGGGCCCAUUUCCAAACCAGUUUAAUUUCCCAAGUGCAAGUUUACUGUGAAAGUCACCAGUGAUAUCUAACAAUAAGUGCAAUUAGUAGAGACAGGGUUAGUUGCCUUAACACGUCUCAUUUAAUACUCAUAACCACCUCAUUUUACAAGUGAGGAAAUAUAGGUUCGAGAGGUCUGUGAAUCAAAAAAAACCCAUGCUUAUUCCACAUGUACCUUGUUACCUCCCUUUAAGGAUCACCUAAGAUAGAAUGACUCACAGUCAUUGGGUCAGUAAAUCAAGAUAACAUAUAUUUAAAAACACCUUUAAAACACUCAUCUAAUCUUGAAUAUUUCUGAUAGGCCUAUUACUCUUCAUCCAGGGUUGUUUGCAUAAGCAUAUGCAUGUCCUUCUCCCUAAGUUACCAGAUGAGCAAGUGAUCUGACCCAGUCUUGAGUUUCUCAAGUCAGUGCAGAGUGACGAAUGAGAAGUGUGGGAGGGAGAUUUCCAAAUACGUGUUUUUCUAAAGGUGGAUGAUACACACUAUCAACAUGAAAGGAAAUACUUCUUAAUAAGUUUGUGCAUAGGGAACACUUUGAAUCCUUGCUUGGGCCAUAAAAACCUCCUUCUGAAACUGUGAAAUAAGCACUGGAUACAACUUCAUGAAAGACAUGUAAAAAGUGUUCAUACAGGUUGGGUGCAGUGGCUCAUGCCUGUAAUCCCAGCACUUUGGAAGGCCGAGAUGGGAGGAUUGCUUGAGCCCAGGAGUUCAAGACCAGCCUGGGCAACAUGGUGAAAACCCAUCUCUACGAAAAAUACAAAAAUUAGCCAGGUGUGGUGGCAGGUGCCUGUGCUCCCAGCUACUCGGGGAGCUGAGGAGGGAGGAUCAAUUUGAACCCAGGAGGUUGAGGCUGCAGUGAGCCGUAAUUGCACCACUGCACUCUAGCCUGGGUGACAGAAUGAGACCUUGUCUGGAAAAAAAAAAAAAAAGUGGGCCAGGCAAGGUGGCUCACGCCUGUAAUCCCAGUAGUUUGGGAGGCCAAGGCGGAUGGAUCACGAGGUCAGGAGUUUGAGACCAGCCUGGCCAAUAUGGUGACACCCCGUCUCCACUAAAAAUACAAAAAUUAGUCGGGCGUGGUGGCACAUGCCUGUAGUCCUAGCUACUUGGGAGGCUGAGGCAGAAGAAUCGCUUGAACCCGGGAGGUGGAGGAUGCAGUGAGCCAAGAUCGCACCACUGCAUUCCAGCCUGGGUGACAGCGAGAGACUCUGUCUCAAAAAAAAAAAAAAAAAAAAAGUGUGUACAUACAAAUCCUAUUAGAUAAAGGCCUACUCUAAAUGUAUCUGAAUUAUUAUGCAUGUAGUACAUCUGAGAAUCAGUGUGGCCUAGGGUUUUUCCCAUGAGCUGUGCAGACAGACAGAUCUGGGUUUGGAUCCAGGCUUCACUACUGACUAGCUAUGUGGCCCUAGUAAAUUCUUUAAUCUCUCUGAUCCUCAAAUUUGCAUUGUAAGUGGAAAUAGUAACAGACCCAUCUUAUAGGAUUUUGUGUGAAUUAAAAAUAUCGCAGGUAAAAGCCUAGCUAACACAGUAUGUGUUCAGUAAAUGAGAGCAACUGUUACAAUUAUGGCUCAUGUACAAGCGUGAAAAUGAAGUCCAACUCAAUUUGUUGGAACUGUAAAUCAAGAGGUAACAUGCAGCUUGGUUAGUUUUUUUAGGCCAGCAUAGUUUACAGGACUAAAUGUUCUAAAUCUGCUAAAUUACAUUUGGUAAAUGAAGAACCAGUUUUAGCCAGAUGAUUGCAGUGACUAUGGCAGCAUUUUAAUAAGAUAACAUACUCAUUUAACACAGCCUUUAUUUUCUGUUUCAAAACAGAAUUUCCAGGAAACAAAACAAAAUACUUACAAUGGUUGGGUACAAAUGAAAUAAAAAUCACAGUUUCAAAGAACCAAAAUAAGACAGUUGCUGAAAGGCAGAUCACUUGGUUUACCAAAAAAAAAAAAAGGUUAAUGUCAAAAAGGAUUAAAAUUAACUUUAACAACAUUCUAUAUAAUGCUACAUUCCCCAAUUAAGAAAGGAGAGUUCACAUAUACAACUAAAUGUUAAGUGUGGAGAAGAGGGUGAAAUUCUGCAUACUUCAUAGUAAAUUAUGCUGAAAGUUUAUUAAUUGCAUAAACUUCCUGAGUGGCUCCCAUGCUGCACUAGGUCUACAUGCUUAAUAUAUCAAACAAAUUAUAGCUUUAGGUGAUUGAGCAUGACAGACCUUGAACAACUGCACUUUCCAGUUAGUCACUGUAUCUGCUGAGGGUAUGUUCUGGACCGCAAACCUCAAUCUCAAAUCUUAAGUUACAGUGGAAAAGAAAUUCAACUUAAAAAAAAACUAGAGGAUGACAAGCACGCAUUUAGGAGUUUAUUUUAUACUGGCACAUUUUUUUCUCAGAACCCAGUUUCUCUCUUCCCUUCUUGCUUGACUUUUAACCUUGUUUGAAUUUUUUUUAAUAAAAAGAAAACCUUCCAGAAUAGGAGCUAUUGGUUUGUACACUCGUCUAGCUAUCUUAGUUGAAAAUAACUUUAGUGUAACCUAGUUACUAUCCCAGGCUCCUUCAUAUAUUGGCUGUCAGGGUUCCUGACCAAUGUUUGUGUUGAUCUUUCACAUACAAAGACUAUUUCCAGGGUGACCUGAAGGCAUUUGGUUCCAUAAAAAUUUCAUACUAAUUUCAAUUCAAAGGAUUUUAUCAAGUUUGAGUGUUACUAUCUUACGAUCUGCAUUUUUAAAAUUUCAAUCUUAGAAAUUACACCUAUCAAAUCAAAGGCCUUUUCUACACACCACCCCCCUUUUCUGAUUCCUCUUCUAAACAAAGGGAGGGGGGGAACAAGUCCUUGAUAAACUACAGAUUCAAAAAACAAUCUUCUAGAAAAUGGCCUGCAUACCACCUCAGAUAGUUCAAGUUUUUCUGACCCAAACAGAAGAUAAAAUAACUGAAUCCCAAAAUGAUGGCAAAUAUACCUCAGGAAUGUACUUAUGCAUAAUGACUGAAAUACAGUAUUUACCAAUAUUAAAUAUGCUGUAGUGUUACACAGUAAACAUGUGAAACAAGGAACAUCUGGUUACAAACAUUUGCUGAGUUUUCAAGGAAAAAAAAGGAAUGCAUCAUUUUCAUCACUCAGAAAAGACAGCAAAGAAGAAAGUCAAUGCUUCCAUAAACUUUAGAGAUUGGAUAAAGUUAUAUAAAACCCUUACUAUCAACUACAUUUCAACUAAAUGCAUUUGGCCGUUUUAAGGUAACAAAAUACCACUGCAAAUACCUAGCACUGUGCUAAUAUAUGUUGAAUGAUAGGCCAUUGCUGAAGGAUUUGUCAAAUAUUUCGCUGUGGUAGUUAAAGCAAUUUCAACCCAUUGCCCUUUAGGCACACAGACGAGAAAUGCAUCUCUAAUAAAAAAUGCAAAGUUAUAGGCACUGGAUUGUCUAAUUCAGGUACUUUCUUACCAUUUGUUUAUUUUAUAACUAACUCCUACACCUAAAUCCUAUAUUGCCACCAAUUUCAAUUAUUCUUCUGCUCUCCACCCCCAAAUCCCCAAAGCAUAUUUCACAGAAGCACAUGGCUCUCCACUUAAACACAGAUGAGAGUGAUGAUCCCUCUCAUCUCAAACUGUUGGCUAGCACUGGGAAAAAAGAGGCAGACCAGAUUUAUAAUCUGAAAGAAUACUGAGAAUCAAGGCAAAAAAGCAAGUUUCACAGGUAGUGUUUACUUGUGCACCCAAAACAGCACUGAAAACGAGGUAGUUAAACAAAAUUAAUUGGACUAGAAUUAAAUCUGGGGUUCUAAAAUGAUAUAUCCCAUCAAACUGUACAUAACACUCCACACUCAAUCCAAAAAUCACAGCAGAAAAGUGCCUUUUAAACUUUCACAGAUAAUUUUGCUGUCAAACCAUUGGAAUUCAUGCUUGAUAUAAAACUGGCAAGGAAGGGAUGAAAAACAGAAUGAAUAUUUGUUAUAUUACAGCAAAUUACCUUAAAUAGAGAUUCAAGACUGCUACAAAUAUACAUAGGGUUAUUUUCAUUAGAUUUACACCAAUACUGGUUUCAUAUUCUUAUGAUGUUACACCCAACUUCACAGACAUAGCAGCAGGUACUUCAUGAUGAAAUGCUCACAUUACCACAUAUGGAGAUACAGUACUAUUCAUCAGACUUGCACUUUGAGAAGUAAACAUGGUGGCUGGACAUACAGACUAUCCUCUGAAUAAACUUUACAAGCAGGAUGGUUAAGUACAACCAUUUUCUCCUCUACAAGAAGGAAAAUGAAAAGGACAGGUUUGUGUGUUUUUUGGAAAGGAAGGCCCUUUUUAUAUAGUAGGCUCUUUGUUAAGAAGGGAAUUUCUGAGCUUUACCUCAAGUUAAUUAUUUCUGGGGAGGAAAAGUACCUCAGACAAGGAUGAAAAUAGCACUAUUAUAUGAUUUAGCAAAAUUAUGAAAUAAUGCAAAAGCCCUGGAUAGAAAACUAGCCAGUAUUUACAGUCAAAGUGACUAUAAUCUGAACCAAACAUGUAAGUCAUGGGAAAAAAUAAUUUUAAUAAAACCCCACAGUGAUGAGAAUAACAUUGUUUUCUCCAUUUCUGCACAAGCUCACUUUUUUCUGUAUUUUUAAAUGUACACAUGUUAUAUAUACAUAAUGUAUACAUAACAUAUAUGAUAACCCGGUUACUGCAGUCAGCAUGGAGACAGCAGUACACUAUUCACCAUCUUCAAACUUUAGAAGACUACUUUUCUUUCCAGCAAAAACCUGAAAAGAUUGUAAAUAUUACAAGGCACUGCAAGAGUCUGCAGGCAAACAAGAAUGAUGAAUUAUAUGUGGAAUAGAGGUGGUGGCCAAAGGCAGAACAUAGGAUGUAGAGCAGUCAUUAAUACAUGUAAUUGUACAUGUCAGCCAUGGAGCUUUUUUCAUCCUGGGGUACACUGUUUAAAAUGAUUGUGACUAGAGAAGAAGGGGUCCUAAAAUCUGCAGUAUUUUCACUUUAUAGGUUGUAUGGCUCGGUGUAAUUACACAAAGCCAACUUUUUAUAAUGAAACACAGGCAGUUUUAAAGAAUUAGGGAUUUUAGGAGCAUUGUUUUUAUACAUAUGGAAAACAGUGCAAUGCAAGCAUUUGCAUUACACUAAUGUCCUAAAAUCACUUUAAACUGCAAACCAAUACUGUACAAGAAAUUUGAAGAAUCUGUACUUAACAUUUGGAAAGACUCAUACAAAACAGAUCAUGUUCUAUGAAAAGAAACAGUGGAUCUUAUCAACAGCAAUUCUCAAAAUGCUGCCCUAGAUGCCUCAAAUUAUAGCGACAGAAUCUUCUUGAUAAUGGAUGUGAUCCUCAGGUAAGCAACAUAAAACACAUUUUUUUUUUUUUUUGGAAAAGAGGUACUUAAUGUCACAAAGUAGACUGUGCAAAAAAAAAAAAAAGUACACCCAUUAAGUUUUCGUCAUUACCUGGCAAGCCCAUGGGGUAUAAUUUUUAGAAGAAUACGGAGGAAAAUCUGUUAACAGUAAUGUUGGGUAGCAAUUUGGAAUGUUUACUAGUAGACAGAACUCCUAAUUAGGUAAAUGUGUAUUAGAAAUGACCUUAAAGUCUUCAGAGUGGAAGGUAAGUAAUUUGAACAUGAAUACUUAGUUGGUAAAUAACAUUUUAAGAAUUCUAUUUAGGUUUCACAGACUGAGCAUUAGGUAACCCUGUGACUAGCCUUUAACAUUAUUAUAGUUAACCUUCUUAAAAACCAAAGGUGUACAUUUUGACAUUGCCUCCCCUCCUCCUAAAACUGGAUAAAACCCAGUAAAGUGCAACUUGACAGUGAUCUCUCUCAGAUUCUAAAGAGGCUGCCAAACUCAUUUAAGAUCUAAAAUCAUCUAAGAUACUAUAGAUACUAAAAAGAAAUUCUAACAACUAAAAAUUGUAAUUAAAAAGAGCUAAGGACAACUUAAAUAGUAUCCUUCUAGGGUCUACUAUCUCACUGCAGGACAGUGUAUACCCCACAUCUCUGAGAACCCUGUAAAGCCAGUGUUUCAUAUGUAAGUCUCGAAACCUACUGUGUCAAGUAAAUUUCACUUCAGAAGAAUGGAUUGAGGUGUAGCUUUAAUCCCCCUUGUUAGGAAUACAAGGAUUCCCCCCAAACGAGAUUCAUAUCAGCUGCAAUAUAUGCCUUGCAAAAGAAUGCAAGACAAACCAAUGCCUCUCAGAUGCUCAAAACCAAUGUAGUAUGCAUGUGAGAAACAAGGAGACAGCUGCUUUGAAUUAUUACUGAAAUCGUAAAACAGCAGCAGUAUCUGCAGAAUCAAGGAACUGUUACAAUUCUGUUUUUUCCCUUUCCCUCUGUCUCACCCAAAACAAGGCUUCAUCCUACUGCUGUGAUGACGGGAAAUCACAUUUAAAAAGGGCUCAUGUUCUGUAUUGGUUGACAAAAUUAUUGUAAUUUUUUGGGGGGGCUAAGGAGGGCGGAUCACAAGGUUAGGAGUUUGAGACCAGUCUGGCCAACAUAGUGAAACCCCAUCCUCUACUAAAAAUACAAAAAUUAGCCAGGCAUGGUGGCUGGCGCCUGUAGUCCCAGCUACUCAGGAGGCUGAGGCAGGAGAAUCGCUUGAACCCAGGAGGGGGAGGUUGCAGCAGUGAGCCAAGAUCACACCACUGCACUCCAACCUGGGUGACAGAGAGAGACUCCAUCUCAAAAAAAAAAAAAAAAGUGAUUCUAAUUUUAUACACCAAAACGUUUCCUGCAGCAAGUUACCCUGCCUUCUGUGAAAGGUAAACCUAAGACAAACAUGUGAAGUGAAGAUCCCAUAAGACUCUGGCUGAUGGAGGGUCUCAGUUCAUCCACAUUUGGGGAGAAUCAAUCUAAAUAAUUUUUAAACAUUUUUAAAGAAGAGUAUCCAGCUGCAGAUAGCAGCAGUUA